rnacentral:snRNA from 1 species
AUCACUUCUCUGCCUUUUGACCAAGAUCAAGUGUAUUAUCUGUUCUUAUUAGUUUAAAUAUGGUAGCUAUGUGUUUUUUUUAAUUUGUCUUGCAAAAUACCUCCU